rnacentral:rRNA from 1 species
UACAGAGGUCUCGAGCGUUGUUCGGAUUCAUUGGGCGUAAAGGGUGCGUAGGUGGCUAGGUAAGUCGGAUGUGAAAUCCCGGGCUCAACCCCGGAACUGCAUUCGAUACUGCCUGGCUAGAGUACUGGAGAGGAGAUUGGAAUUUACGGUGUAGCAGUGAAAUGCGUAGAUAUCGUAAGGAAGACCAGUGGCGAAGGCGGAUCGUCUGGACAGUUACUGACACUGAGGCACGAAGGCCAGGGGAGCAAACAGG